GCGGCUGUCACGUGAUGUUUGGGUGCCGGUGGUGACGGGCGCGCGGCGGCAGGAACAAUACUGCUGAGCUGGGCCUUGGAUCCAUUGGGUUAUUGCUGCCAAAUUCCCAACAAGCGGCUUCACAACACAGCAGAAUAAAAUCGUGGAUUAGAAGAAAGUCUUGUGUGCCUAGGAGAGGAGGACUUGGGAAGCAGCUGGUCUGAAGUGUAAUCCCGCAUCCAUCACUAUCCAGAAAAUGUCUUAUGGAUCCAUCGAUGGGAGUGGAUUUGGGAGCAGGAACCCAUUUGGAGGCCCUUCGAGACAAGGCUAUCAACCUCUCGGAAUGUCUGAGACAUCGUCAGAACUGAGAGCGGGGCUGAGGACAAGGCCAGCAUUUCAGCAUCACCCUAGACAGUGGCAGAGCCUGUCUGCAGCAGAAAGCCUUAGAAGAACUCCUUGUAGCAUCUCUCCUCCUUGGCAUUUGCAUCAGGGGGGCUGUGAGUCAGGCAGGAGGGGUUCCCUGCCCAUGGCUGGGGGUUUCACUGC